CUUAUCCACACACACUCCUGCUUCCUUUCCAGCCGUGGCGGAGCAGGAGAGGGGAGGGCAGGUUAGAGAGGGAGGGAGGGAAGGAGAGCAGCAGCAAGUGUGGGAGUAGGCGCCCGGAGACGGAGAGCGAGUGGAUGAGCGAGGAGAGGCGCUGGGGAGGGUCCAGAUCCGGUCAAGGGCGGGGCGACCGGCGGCGGCGGCUUCAACUCCGGGGUGCGAGCUUGCUUCCUGAGAGAGGAAAGAGUGAGCUGAGAGAUAUGGAGAGAGAGCACGGGAGGGAAGGAGAAAGUAAGAGGGAGGCGCGGCCAUGGUUGGUUCUCCGGCGGCAUGGGAUCGGUGCUCGGGGACGCGAAGAUCUAGGGAGGCACUCGGGGGCGAGGUGCGGGUGUCCUCUAUUAUUGAAGUUUUACCACCAUCUGGUGGUGCUUGAGAUCAGAGAUGGCAUACUUUCAUUAGCAUAGGCCAAAUCCCCAGCGCCGCCGGUGUUGUACACCCCUGUACCCCUCGACAUCCAGUGCCUCCCGCCUGCCCAACAUGAACACCUCCUCAAUAGUUUAUUUUGCUCCAGGAUGGUGCCCUUUAUGUACAUGAACUAAUGAUUGUGUUCAGAACGUAGAGCAGCUUCUCUGUCCAGUCUCAUGUCUUUCUCUUCACCAGAGAUCAGUGAGUACUACCGAGCAAAAACGUCCUUCUCUUCGUCAUAUUUCUUCCUUUUCCUUACUACUACUUUUGUGGCUCCAAAUCUCAUCAUGGCUCUAUGUCUGUUCUUUUUGUUGACAUGGAUUUUACCCUGAAAGUUUCCUUCUGAUCUAAAAUGUUCUGCUAUCUAAAUUCAUCUGUAUAUUGUGAAUGAGUAGACAUUGGUGCAGAAGCCCAAUCGGAUGAAAAUACGGAUUAUAGAGAGUCUGGCAGAUUUCAGUGGCAAGAUCUUUGUACAAUUGCAGUGGCAGAUUUCAGAAAUUUGUAGAGCACAGGAUUUACAAGAACAAGAUAUUCUGUCAAGCCAUGGAUAUCAACAAUCAGUCAAGCAAAGAAAUAUUCAUGGGAGAUAUACGGGGAUCCAUAAGAAUGUGCACCGUAUGGCACUACCCUUUUGUCAUUGAGCCACCAUCACAUUUUGGUCAGCAAUCAGUUCAAGCAAUUCUCAGGGCCAUUAGUCAGAAGCUUGAAUUUACAUCUGAACGAACAAUACAUCAAGCCACAGAAGAAAGAGUGGUCAUCUCUUUUUCUUGGUACAAAGAUGCCAUACAAGCAUUCAGACUUCUGAAUCGCACAAGCAGUUUGUAUAUAAAUGGUGUGCCAUAUCGUUUUAACAUGGACACUUCAAAAGAAUAUCUGCCAGGAGUGGUCGCUGAUCACUAUGAUUAUAGUAGCCCUAAAGAGUUUGCCUUGCGUUUGCGUUCACAUGUAGUUGCAGUUUUAGCCUUUUAGAAGUAUAUGGCGUUGCUUAAACUAUGUUUCUUUUGGCAACAUAUGAAAUGGAGAAAGUUUUGUUGUUAUAGAAAAGUUGGCAAUAGCAACUGAUAUCUGAAUUUUGUUUGAUGUA